CCUAGUUAAUUCUACUAGUAGUUAUAUACUUAUCUUAAAGAUUAAGCUAUAUAUAUCUAAGUAUAAGUAAUUAUAUAGCGAAACUACGAAUAGCUUAUUAUAUAAGUUAUCGUUUAUUUAAUAAUACCUUACUAUUUAGAUAACCGUAGUAAUUCUAAAGCUAAUAUAUAUUAAAAAUCCCGAUUUCGGAAGGGAUAUAUUUAUUAGAUUAAAAACUAAUACCUUUUAAAGCUUACUAGUAAUUUAUAAUAACUUCUCGAAUUAUAUAACCUUACGCUAGUAAUAGUUUAUUUAAAUUUCUUCCUUAUUAACUUUCGAUGCUAAAGUAGUAUUCUAGCAUAGUUAUAACAAGUAACGGAGGGUUAAGGCUUAACCCUAGAGAAGAAGCCUAAGAAACAGCUACUAUAUCUAAAGAAGGUAGCAGGCGCGUAAAUUACUUAAUCCCGACUCGGGAAGGUAGUAAUAAUAAAUAUUAAUAUAAAGCUUUUUUAAGUCUUAUAAUUAAAAUAAGUAUAAUUUAAAUCCCUUAACAAGGAAUAAUUAGAAGGUAAGUCUAGUACUAGCAGCUACGGUAAUUCUAGCUCUAAUAGCGUAUAUUAAAGUUAUUAUAGUUAAAAAGCUUGUAGUAGAACCUUAGGCCUAGCUAGCCGGUCCGCCUUACCGCGUACACUAGUCCGGCUAGGCCUUUCCCUCUAUAAAACCGCAUACCCUUUACUAGGUAUGCCGGGGAAAUAAGACUUUUAUUCUAUUAUAAAAAAUUAAAGUACUCUAGGCAAGCCUAUGCUUAAAUAUAUUAGCAUAGAAUAAUAGAAUAAGACGUAUAGUUUUAUUUUAUUAGUUUCUAAGAUACCGUAAUAAUUAAUAAGGAUAGUUAGGGGUAUUAGUAUUUAAUUAUUAAAAGUAAAAUUCUUAGAUUUAUUAAAAACUAACUACUACGAAAGUAUUUACUAAGGAAUUUUUAUUUAUUAGGAACGAAAGUUAAGGGAUCGAAGACGAUUAGAUACUAUCGUAGUCUUAACUAUAAACUAUACCGACUAAGGAUUAGACGAUAUUAUUUUUUAAUUUAUUUAGUACUUUACGAGAAAUUAAAGUACUUAGGCUUUAAGGGGAGUAUAGUUAUAAGGCUAAAACUUAAAGAAAUUAACGGAAAAGUACUACUAAGGGUAAAGCCUACGGCUUAAUUUAACUUAAUAUAGGGAAACUUACUAAGUUAGACAUAAUAAGGAUUAAUAGAUUAAAGACUCUUUCUUAAUUUUAUAAGUAGUAAUAUAUAGCCGUUCUUAGUUAGUAAAGUAAUUAUCUACUUAAUUACGAUAACGAACAAGACCUUAACCUACUAAAUAGCUAUAUUGCUUUAAUAGUACGCUAGCUUCUUAGAAGGAUUAUCGCUUAAGCCGAUAGAAGUUUAAGGUAAUAACAGGUCUAUAAUACCCUUAGAUGUUCUGGGCCGCACGCGCGUUACACUGACAAAGCUAGCAAGUACUCCCUUAAAACCGNNNNNNNNNNNNNNNNNNNNNNNNNGGUAGUACUGUGUUUUCUUAUCUACGCUAGCAUACUAUAUAGAGGCAGUAGUAAGGCUUAUAAACGCCUAGCGGUAGGUAUAAGAUACUUAGCCUCGUCAUAAUAACCCUUACGGUUAAUAAAGGACGCAAAAGCAAAGUCGUAAUAAUAGCUACUAAGUACCUUAAGACCAGGAGAAAAGUACCUUUAACGUAGGCAGCAACGCGGCAACGGCGAGGGCAACCUUAAUAGGCUACUAAAGGUACGCGUUACGGAUACCGUAGUCU
rnacentral:rRNA from 1 species